GUUUGUUUGAAAGGAAGAAAAGAGAUGAAGUGACAGAAAAGAAUUGAGAAAGCUUGUGAGCCUUGGAUUUCAAUGUGUCAGAACCAUCUUACUGGUUAGCCAAAGAUUCUCGCCCACAUCAGAGCACUUAUUGCUUGCAUACGGUCGUCGGCAUAGUUCACUUCUUAAAAGUGUUGUCAUUGAUGGAGAGGCAACAAUUCCCAUUUACACAAUUCUAGAGGUCUAUAGAGUUUCUGAUAUGGAACUUGUGAGAGUUCUACCAAGUGCUGAGGAUGAGGUUAAUGUAGCAUGCUUUCAUCCUUCAGUUGGCGGUGGCCUUGUCUAUGGAACUAAGGAAGGGAAGCUUAGGAUUCUACAGUGUGAUGGUUCUUAUGGCAUGAAUCACUCAGUGUCUUCCUUUUUUGAUGAGAACACACUUCAGGUCCCUACAUAUGCUUUAGAAUGCUAAUAAAGUGAUCAGUUACCAUUAUGAGAUAUGUCACUGAUGUUUAAGGUGAGAUGACAGGAGGCUAUAUAUUAUUUUUCAAG